UGGAAGGAAGGAGUAAACACAAAGGUGGAGUUCACAUACUGGAUAACACUUUGAUUCUAUAGAAUACUUGAUACAUAUACGGAUUGGCAUUAACCAACGGGAUGUGGUCCUGUUUUAAUUAAGUUUUACAGCGAAAUCUAUACCAAUAUACGGGAAGAAAGGCUGAUUGCAUUUCUAAGCAGCGGAGGCCUUGACCUACUGCUAUCACAGCGUUUGCUUUUGAAUUUUGAAUCAUUACCACUAGGUGAUUUAUCCAUCAAUACAAACAUUGGAGUUAUAAAGGGAAAAUUUUGAAUUAAGUGCAGAUAUCCGAUCGAUCAUCCUAUUGGGCAUUAAGAUCCCACAUGUGUGACAUCGGAAACGUAUACCUCAGAUGAAGUCUCUCGUGGACGAAACACAUUGGGUUUUAUGAACAAUUUCAUCUGAACAAACUGAAUUGUAUUAUUGUCGGUGUAAAACUAUUUUA